CGGGGCUUUCGCGGGCGCGCAGGCGCACAGGCGUUGGCGCGGCCGGCGGCGGCCUCCGCGGGCGUAGCUGUGCGGGUCUCCAAAGGCGGCAGUAGGUGCGGGGGCUACUCGGCUACCGUUGCUGCGCCCGUGCACCGCGCAUUCAACGGAUCCUGGCACGUGGCGCUCUGGCCCGCGAGAAGCUAGCGCUUGCCCGUCGGCUCAGGGCAGCUCCUCCCGCGGCGCUUUGUUCCGGGGCCGCGUGACCCCCCCGGCUCCGGCCGGAGGGGUCGCCCAGCGGGAUGCGAGCCCCAGGCUGGCCGCCGCCGCGGCCUUGUGCCCUCCCCCUUGUUUUGUCUGCUGAUUUAGCCCAGCGCCUCCACGGAUCCUUCCCAACUCCACUCAGUCCCAAAGAAAAAGCGGCUGCCCUGCCCGCCGACCGGGACCCCACCCCUAAAGAGAGUCCCAGCCUCUCCCGAGGUUGAGCCGCUCCUCAGCAACAGCGGGACGAGCUUCAAAAGCUUGUUUCAGCUGAAAAGUGGGUAAUGGGGAAGCACGCGUUUUCCUGUGUCCAUGCUCAUCUGGAAAGUCCCUAAUUAGGGACUCUGCAUUCCACUUCUUGAAAUAAUAAAAGGAAAACAUCACUUGCAAUUCUUUGAUGGGUGCUAUGAGCAGAAGCAAGCAUCUGAGACAUUUACAAGCCCUAACUGGAAUUCCAUGACUCAAAAGAUUAGAUGGGCUCAUCCAGAAAAUUCA
rnacentral:lncRNA from 1 species